rnacentral:sRNA from 1 species
UUUUUUCAUCAACAUCAAUCUUAUUAUUGAACUGCAGAGACAAAGUCACGAUGGAGUAUGUCUGUGAUUACAUGAGGAGUAAAAUUAGAAAAAUGAUAAGAAGUAUGUGAAGGUAGUGCAUGUUUAGCUAAUGUGUCUGCUGCCAUGUUGGAAUUUCGUCGGACCCAUGUGAAGCGACAAUCCUCAAAUCUUGUUUUCCAAGCCACAACCUCUCUUAGCCAAUUAAAGACCGCAAAGUUUGGAUUCCUGUCAUUGACACAAAGCGAAGAAUGAGAAAUCUCCUGAGAAUACACAAUGAGGGAGGUGGCGGAAAAUAUUUGGGACUACCAGAACAGUUUGAUAAGAAGAAAUCUGAGAUGUUUCGGUAUAUUGUUGAGAAAGUCAAAGAAAAAACUCAAGGUUGGAAUAUUUUAAAGUUAAUACUCUUUGUUCUGAACGAGAUAAUUGUUGUUUAAAGUUUUUGCACAGUAAUUAAAAAAACUAUU